UACGUAGGGUGCAAGCGUUAAUCGGAAUUACUGGGCGUAAAGCGUGCGCAGGCGGUUAUGUAAGACAGGUGUGAAAUCCCCGGGCUCAACCUGGGAAUGGCGAUGGUGACUGCAAGGCUAGAGUUUGGCAGAGGGGGGUAGAAUUCCACGUGUAGCAGUGAAAUGCGUAGAUAGUGUGGAGGAACACCGAUGGCGAAGGCAGCCCCCCUGGGUCAAAACUGACGCUCAUGCACGAAAGCGUGGGGAGCAAACAGG
rnacentral:rRNA from 1 species